CAGGCCUCUUGGACUUUGGUUCCUUGAACAGGAUCCUAAGCUUGGAAACUCUCCAAGUGACAGAAAAUUGGCAGAUUCUUCAUCGUUGAUUCCUUACUGGCUCUUUGGAGAGGAAAGGAGUUUUGCUCAGGACUUGGCGGAGCCCUUUGCUUGGCACCUUAGCCAGUAACUCAAAGUUCAAGGAACUUGACAGACAGAGGCUGUUUUUCUGGUAAUUUAUUUUGCCUGGCAGAUGCCUGAAGAUUUUCUUCAAGUUCAAUACUGUACAUAGGGUGACCUCUCCAUGUGGCUUGAGCCUGUCACAGCAUGGUGGAUGGAUUCUGGGAGUCAGCAUUCCAGGAGUGAGCAUUCUAAGAGGAAAAAAUGAGGAGCUGUCAUACAAAAAAAAAAGGUGUCCACUCGAAUAAAGGCCAAAGAGAUGUUUGCAGCCCUUGCCUCUUGAAAUGGAAGAGCCACCUGUUUGGACGAACGGAGGCAGGAUGGUGCACUUCCGGGUUCUUCUUCACCACCAACUCUUCCCGUGUGUGCGAGAAUGCAGCUGACGCCCGGGAAGGUGCAGAUUA